AGCGAACGUUAGCGGCGGGCCUAACACAUGCAAGUCGAGCGAAUCUUUAGGAGCGCAGCUCCAGAGGUUAGCGGCGGACGGGUGAGUAACACGUGGGCAACCUGCCUGUAAGACUGGGAUAACACCGGGAAACCGGUGCCAAUACCGGAUAAUUCUUUUCCUCACAUGAGGGGACGCUGAAAGUCGGUUUAGGCUGACACUUACAGAUGGGCCCCGCGGCGCAUUAGCUCGUUGGUGAGGUAACGGCUCACCAAGGGGACGAUGCGUAGCCGACCUGAGAGGGUGAUCGGCCACACUGGGACUGAGACACGGCCCAGACUCCUACGGGAGGCAGCAGUAGGGAAUCUUCCGCAAUGGACGAAAGUCUGACGGAGCAACGCCGCGUGAGUGAUGAAGGCCUUCGGGUCGUAAAACUCUGUUGUUAGGGAAGAACAAGUAUCGGAGUAACUGCCGGUACCUUGACGGUACCUAACCAGCAAGCCACGGCUAACUACGUGCCAGCAGCCGCCGUAAAAC
rnacentral:rRNA from 1 species